ensembl:lncRNA novel transcript
GGAGCCUGAGGAGCAAGGGUAGAAUGAGGAUCGUGAGGUUCUUCAGAGGCAGUUACUCACGAGGUCACAGCGCAGAAACGGCAAGAAAUGUCAGGACAACUAUGGAUGUGAAGGAUGGGAGAGGGGCCUCCUUCCGCAUGAGGUCCCCAGAGGAGAGGGGUUCAUCCUUCUCCAUCUAGGACUUGAGGGACAUCCUUCUCCAUCCAGGACUGAGAGGCAUCCUUCUCCUUGCAGUACCUGAGGGACAUCCUUCUCCAUUCAGGACCUGAGGAUGUCCUUCUCUGUACUCCCUUGGGACUGCACCCUUUCCUGUGCCAUCCUUCAGAAUGCUAGGCUGUCGCUGGUUGUGGAUUGAACUCUAGCAUCUUAUCUCUAUUCUAGGUGAAUCCCUUCACAUUUAUAGUGAUUUACCAUUUAAUCACUGUGCCAUUUUCCCCAAAAUAUGUGGGGUUUGGGGUUUGGUUUUUGUUCUUACUUCUAUUAAUUCUUCGGUUCCCACCUCCAGUUGUUUUGUAAUUUCUUUUACAACCUAAUAUGGUCCCAUUUGGUAAGUAUUACCAUGUACUAGAAAAUAAUGUAUAUUCAGUAUUUGUUGUGAUUUUUAAACCUUUAAUAAACUCAUAAGAUUUUUGUC